rnacentral:rRNA from 1 species
AAUGAACGUUGGCGGCGUGGAUUAGGCAUGCAAGUCGAGCGAGAACCCCGCAAGGGGGGACAGCGGCGAAAGGGACAGUAAUGUGUAGAUUAUCUGCCCUCAGGUCCGGGAUAGCUGCGGGAAACUGCAGGUAAUACCGGAUAACAUCUCCGGAUCAAAGGUGUGAUUCCGCCUGAGGAUGAGUCUGCAUCCUAUUAGCUAGUUGGUGGGGUAAUGGCCUACCAAGGCAUUGAUGGGUAGCAGGUGUGAGAGCACGACCUGCGUCAUUGGGACUGAGACACUGCCCAGACACCGACGGGUGGCUGCAGUCGAGAAUCUUCGGCAAUGGGCGCAAGCCUGACCGAGCGACGCCGCGUGUGGGAUGAAGGCCUUCGGGUUGUAAACCACUGUCAGAGGGGAUGAAAUGCAGGUGGGUUCUCCCAUCUGUUUGACAUAGCCUCAGAGGAAGGACGGGCUAAGUUCGUG